rnacentral:misc_RNA from 1 species
AGCUAACGUCCUCCAGCUUCAAAAUACAACAGACGCUGCCCCAAAGCUUUUGCUGCGAAAUCCCGGUUGGAGGAUGGAGGGUUUGGUUUCACCUAAGGUUUCCCUCAGGACUACUUUCUAUCAUGGGCCAAACUUCUCAAUCAGACGCCCAAUGAACCUUUCUAAAUUGAAUCGUUUCUCUGUUGCUUCCAUUCGAGCUCAACAGCCGGAGACCAAGGAUGGUGCGGCUAUGGUGUCCGCCGUGAGGGAGGAGGCAAAUGCCCUCCAAAUGAAGGAGUGGGAAGUGGAUAUGCUCCAAAACGAGGUGGCUUCUAGUCAGGGGAUUAGAAUUAGGAGGCGUCCACCGACAGGGCCACCUUUGCACUACGUUGGACCCUUUGAGUUUCGCAUACAGAACGAGGGAAAUACCCCCAGGAAUAUCCUCGAGAAAAUCAUAUGGCAUAAGGACAUGGAAGUCUCCCAAUUAAAAGAGAGAAGGCCUCUCCACGCGCUGAAGAAAUCUCUCGAGAAUGCUCCGCCUUCUAGAGAUUUUACUGGAGCUCUGAAGGAGGCUAAUCUUCGAACUGGCCUUCCUGGGUUGAUUGCUGAAGUGAAGAAGGCUUCUCCUAGCAGAGGAAUCCUAAGAGAGGACUUUGAUCCGGUUGAAAUUGCACAAUCUUAUGAGAGAGGUGGCGCUGCAUGUCUCAGUGU